UGGGGAAUUUUGGACAAUGGGCGCAGGCCUGAUCCAGCCAUGCCGCGUGCGGGAAGAAGGCCUUCGGGUUGUAAACCGCUUUUGUCAGGGAAGAAACGCUCUGGGCUAAUACCCUGGGGUAAUGACGGUACCUGAAGAAUAAGCACCGGCUAACUACGUGCCAGCAGCCGCGGUAAUACGUAGGGUGCAAGCGUUAAUCGGAAUUACUGGGCGUAAAGCGUGCGCAGGCGGUUAUGCAAGACAGAUGUGAAAUCCCCGGGCUCAACCUGGGAACUGCAUUUGUGACUGUAUAGCUAGAGUACGGUAGAGGGGGAUGGAAUUCCGCGUGUAGCAGUGAAAUGCGUAGAUAUGCGGAGGAACACCGAUGGCGAAGGCAAUCCCCUGGACCUGCACUGACGCUCAUGCACGAAAGCGUGGGGAGCAAACAGGAUUAGAUACCCAUGUAGUCCCUGAGCGGGCUGGCAAGGCGCAU
rnacentral:rRNA from 1 species